rnacentral:rRNA from 1 species
UAACCUGCCCAAGAGAUCGGGAUAACACCUGGAAACAGAUGCUAAUACCGGAUAACAACANAUGAUGCCUAUCAACUGUUUAAAAGAUGGUUCUGCUAUCACUCUUGGAUGGACCUGCGGUGCAUUAGCUAGUUGGUAGGGUAACGGCCUACCAAGGCGAUGAUGCAUAGCCGAGUUGAGAGACUGAUCGGCCACAUUGGGACUGAGACACGGCCCAAACUCCUACGGGAGGCAGCAGGG